AAAGAUCUUAAAUUUUUUUAGGGUUAUUGAUUUUAUUAUGCAGUACCUUGUACCUAGUAGCCGACAUCAUCUCUAAUUCUCUACUUCCUCGGUUCCUCCACUCCCUCAUUCUUCUUCCUCUCUGUAUCAAUUUCUACUUCUCUUUCUCCUUCAAAUCUUAAUUUCUUAGAGAUCAAGACCAUUGAAAUUCAGACAAUCGACCACCACAUGCAACCAUAUUGCUAAUUGUCGGCCUCCACUACAAGAUUCACAAAGAAAUCUGAAUUUGUUCGUCUCAUACAACGGAGUCAAGUACAGGGUCUUGAAAUAUGUCAAGUACAGAAGGUAGCCCAAGUUCUGUGGGGACUCCCCUUGCUGAAGAUGAUAAUGAGGAAGGAUUUCUUGAGAAAGAGGAUAUGCCACAACCUAAACAAAAGAGAAAGGCUACAAAACAAAAUGUCAGACAUAUGGGAUCACUUCAUCAAAUACACUGAACAUGGGCAAGGAAUGUGUAAGCGCAAACAUUGUGGUAUGUCUUACAAAUGUGUACCUAAAGUUAAUGGCACAAGUACUUAUAGAUCACACUUGAAGAAAUGGUUCCUAAAGUCCAAACAACAAACAUACUGAUCCAAGGCCUAAGCAAACUCAAUUAUCUUUCUAAUCUCCUGUAAAUGAAGAUGGAGAGCUUGAGGGAAAUGUGAAAAAUUGGAUUUUUAAUUAUGAUAAGUGUAGAAAAGCACUAGCUUAUAUGAUAAUUGUAGAUGAGCUGCUAUUUAGAUUUGUUGAACGGCAAGGAUUUAAAUACUUUUGCUCAUAGUUGUCGAACACAUUUCAUGUGCCUUCAAGAUUUAUUGUUUCUAGGGAUCGUUAUGAGUUGUUUAUGGAUGAAAGAUUGAAACUGAAGACUUUUUUAAAGACCAAUUGUAGAAGGGUUUGUCUUACAACUAACACAUGGACUUCCUUGCAAAAAAUCAAUUAUAUGUGCCUAACUGCCCACUUUAUUGAUAAUGACUGGAAACUAAACAAAAGAAUAUUGAAUUUUUGUCAAAUAUCAAGUCAAAAAGGGGAAGCAAUUGGUAAGGCAAUUGAGAAAUGCUUGCUUUCAUGGGGUAUUGAAAAUGUCAUGACUAUUACUAUAAAUAAUGCAAGCUCUAAUGAUACAACUAUUCUUUAUUUGAAAAAAAGAAUAAACAAUUAGGGGACAAGUGUUUUGAGAGGAGAAUUUUUGCAUGUACGAUGAAUUGCUCACAUAAUGAAUUUGGUUGUGAAUGAUGUUUUAAAAAUGGUUUAUGAUUCUGUACAUCGUGUUCGAAAUGCAGUAAGGAUAAUUAGGUCAUCUUGCAAUAGAGUUGAAAGGUUUAAAAAAUGUGCCUUGGAAGAGAAAAUUUCAACUCAAAGUAUGUUGUGUCUUGAUGUUCCAACUCGAUGGAAUUCGACUUAUUUGAUAUUAGGCACUGCUGUGAAAUAUGUAAAUCCUUUUAAGAGAUAUGAUGAAGAAGACCCACAUUAUAAUGAUGAUUUAUGGGAUGUGGAUGGUUAUGGAAAGGGGUUAGGGAAACCUAUUUCAGAUGAUUGGGAUCAUGUUCAGAACCUGCUAAAAUUGUUGAAAGCUUUUUAUAAUUUGACUGUUUGUGUUUUUGGCUCAUUAUAUGUGACUUCCAAUGCUUAUUUCAUGAGGUUUCUGAUGUGGAUUGUCUUUUAAAGGAAUGUUGUGCUAGUUCAGAUGAUAAUUUUAAGAACAUGUCUAUGAAAAUGAAAGAAAAGUGUGAGAAAUAUUGGGGUGAUCAUAAAAGGCUAAAUGUAAUGUUGUUUAUCUCUGCAAUACUUGAUCCUCGUUACAAAUGGGAUUGUGUUGACUAUGGGAUUUGUCAAAUGUAUAAGAGUAAUGAAGCUUUAAAUGUAUGCAACAGUGUCAAGAAAGCCUUUAAGAAUAUGCAUGAUGAGUACAAGGGCUCACAAGUGACAACUAAUUCAACUAGUACUUUGAGUGGGGGUUCAACUUCUUGUGGAGUAGAUGGUGAGCCUAGUAUAGGAAAUAAGGGAAUAAUAAGGGCUAGAUACAAGAAACUUAAAGCUACAAAAGAUGAUGUGGAUGCCAAAACAGAGCUAAAAAGUAUUUAGAUGAUGAUACAGAGGAGGAUGUGGAUGAUUUUGAUAUUUUGAAGUGGUGGAAAACUCAUGGUGCACGAUAUCCUACUCUUUCUUUUAUAGCUCGUGAUGUAUUAGCUAUACCUGUUUCUACGGUUGCAUCUGAAAGUGCUUUUAGCACCGGAGGUAGAAUACUUAAUUCAUUUAGGAAUUCAUUAACUCCUAAAAUAGUAGAAGCUCUUGUUUGUGGUCAAGAUUGGCUUCGUGCAUCACCCCUUAAUGUUGAAGAGCCAACGGAGGAUAUUGAAAAAUUGGAAAGUGAUCUCUCUAAGAUUAGUUUAUCUCCACCCAUCAUUGAUAUAGCAUGAGGCUUAAAGCUCGUAUGUUAUUUCAUUGUUAGAGGUUGGUGUAUGCUAUAUGGUGGCUUAAGUGAAAAGAACCAAUGUACGAUCAUCUUGGAUUACUGAAAAUAAUUGUAUUGUAAUUCAAGACAUCAGACAUUAUGUUGAUGUAGGAUGCAAGUGUUUUAUGUUGUGUUUUAGAUAUUAAACAUUAUUAGUUUAUUUUGAUGUUGGAUGUAAGUAGGAAUUUUGAUUUUACUAGAAUUGUUAAUCACUUUUGAAGGUGGACAA